AAUAGUGUGUGAGAUGUGAAGGGGUACAGAAAGGAAGAGUAACAUCACUGUUAUAAGGUGAUGGAUGAGAAGUCCGAUAAAAGAUUUUUUUCCCCUGUUUAUUUAAUAUGUUUCUCUUGUUGCUUCUUGUCCAUCCCCAUACAAUGGAUAAGAA
rnacentral:ribozyme from 1 species